rnacentral:rRNA from 1 species
UACGAAGGGGGCUAGCGUUGCUCGGAAUUACUGGGCGUAAAGCGCACGUAGGCGGCUUUCUAAGUCGGGGGUGAAAUCCUGGAGCUCAACUCCAGAACUGCCUUCGAUACUGGAGAGCUCGAGUCCGGGAGAGGUGAGUGGAACUGCGAGUGUAGAGGUGAAAUUCGUAGAUAUUCGCAAAGAACACCAGUGGCGGAAGGCGGCUCACUGGCCCGGUACUGACGCUGAGGUGGCGAAAGCCGUGGGGAGCAAACAGG